GAGAAACGGGGAGCAGCGGCGAGGAAGAGCAAGGCAAGAGCGAUCGCCCGGAGGAAGAAGAGAGCGCUGGAUGCAAAUCAGUCAAGCGGGUCAUGGCGCCUUUGCAAAAAACGCAGCUCGCCGGACGCGCCGCGCCUCGCCUUCUGCCUUCCCACAGCGGCGUUGCCGCCCGCUUCCAAGGACAAUCGCGUGGCUCCCUCCGAGGCGGCCACGACGGAGAGGGGGAGUGAAUAGCCUGGCCCCGACCGCUGAAUCGCCUGCUGCAUCGAGAAAGCUCGUUCCCCUCACUGCUUUCCUUCGGCGAGGGGCUACUCGGCCUGAGGGUUUCCGGAAUCCGCGGGAGGUGGCAUCUCUGACUCGCCUGGCUCAGCUGUAUCCUUUUUCCUGCCUGUCUGAGAGACAAUUGGUGCUGGCGGGGUGGGUCUGCCGUGCAACGACGAUGGGGAGAGAAAGAGAGGGAGGCAAAUGUUGGAUCAGGUCAGCGUCUUAUCCCAGUCUCUAGCAGAGCAGCACCGAAAGGCUUUGGGGGUGGGGGGAAGGAGAGAGCUUUUCCAGAUGGCUGUAAAAACUGGGCUGGAGAUGGGAAGCGGAGGAAGCAAAGAGAGAUGUGCAGCUGGACCAUCUGCUAGAAUCUAGUUGUGUGUAUCAUCCCACCUGCACUUCUUCUGGAGUAAGUAUCACUAACUUAAUAAGGUUAAUUGAAGAUUGCCAUGGAAAUCAAGCGCCCCAAGGAAAUAGAGUUGAGCAGGGGGACUCUUGUCAGGUGAAACAAUUUCAGUUCAACAGUGAUGGGGAAGAUGGGAGGGCUUCUGAGGAGGAGGGGGGCAUGGCUUUUCACCUGACAACCAAAACCGCUUGAGAAGGCUCAUAGACUUGGUGGCAGGCAAUAAGGACCCUCCCACAUGGACACACACAAACUAGGACCUUAUCUGCAUUGCAUUUGGAGUGUUGACUUUCUUCCAAGGAGUGAACAUCAGAGGAAGUGGUCUUCUACAUAGACCUAGACUGGUAUCCUGCUUUUCCUCCUGGAGCUCAAGACAGCACUUCCUUAUCCAGUUUUUCCCCACCACUGCCCUGUGAGGCAAGACAUGAGUUUAUGUAUUCUGUUAGCUGUGAUGUCUAAGGAUCAUAAGGUCGCUUAUUGGCAAAGAACUCAGAAGGCCAUCUGUGCCCCAACUACCAGUUCUCACAGAGCAGCUCACAAAUGACAGCAUGCUGGAGAAAGAGGAUUCCAUGAUCUAACCAAAGAAGAAAAAAAUGCAAGGUGUGACUGGCAUCAUCAUUCCCAGCUAACUUCGAAAGGAGAUCUUUUUCUUCUAGAAGAACUCCAAAGAUGUAGCAGCCUGAUGUCUGACGCAAGCACGGAAGUUAUGGUUUUGUGUUUUGAAAUCAUGAUGCACUUCUACACUUGACCCCUAUCUGUGACAGCACACUCAGAUGCAUCUAUGCCAGCCUUAUCCCAAGAAAGCAUCUAGAGUUGGUGUAAAGCAG